rnacentral:rRNA from 1 species
UACGUAGGGCGCAAGCGUUAUCCGGAAUUAUUGGGCGUAAAGAGCUCGUAGGCGGUUUGUCGCGUCUGCCGUGAAAGUCCGGGGCUCAACUCCGGAUCUGCGGUGGGUACGGGCAGGCUAGAGUGAUGUAGGGGAGACUGGAAUUCCUGGUGUAGCGGUGAAAUGCGCAGAUAUCAGGAGGAACACCCGUGGCGAAAGCGGCUCUCUGGGACGGUACUGACGCUGAGACGCGAAAGCGUGGGGAGCAAACAGG